CGAACGCUGGCGGCAGGCCUAAUACAUGCAAGUCGAACGGCUCUUCGGAGCAGUGGCGGACGGGUGAGUAACGCGUGGGAAUGUGCCCUUUGGUACGGAACAACACAGGGAAACUUGUGCUAAUACCGUAUGUGCCCUUCGGGGGAAAGAUUUAUCGCCAUUGGAGCAGCCCGCGUUGGAUUAGGUAGUUGGUGAGGUAAAGGCUCACCAAGCCUACGAUCCAUAGCUGGUCUGAGGGGAUGACCAGCCACACUGGGACUGAGACACGGCCCAGACUCCUACGGGAGGCAGCAGUAGGGAAUCUUGCGCAAUGGGCGAAAGCCUGACGCAGCCAUGCCGCGUGUAUGAUGAAGGUCUUAGGAUUGUAAAAUACUUUCACCGGGGAAGAUAAUGACGGUACCCGGAGAAGAAGCCCCGGCUAACUUCGUGCCAGCCGCCGCGGUAACAC
rnacentral:rRNA from 1 species